rnacentral:rRNA from 1 species
GUGCCAGCAGCCGCGGUAAUACGUAGGGUGCGAGCGUUGUCCGGAAUUACUGGGCGUAAAGAGCUCGUAGGUGGUUUGUCGCGUCGUCUGUGAAAUUCCGGGGCUUAACUUCGGGCGUGCAGGCGAUACGGGCAUAACUUGAGUGCUGUAGGGGAGACUGGAAUUCCUGGUGUAGCGGUGGAAUGCGCAGAUAUCAGGAGGAACACCGAUGGCGAGGGCAGGUCUCUGGGCAGUAACUGACGCUGAGGAGCGAAAGCAUGGGGAGCGAACAGGAUUAGAUACCCUGGUAGUCCAUGCCGUAAACGGUGGGCGCUAGGUGUAGGGGUCUUCCACGACUUCUGUGCCGUAGCUAACGCAUUAAGCGCCCCGCCUGGGGAGUACGGCCGCAAGGCUAAAACUCAAAGGAAUUGACGGGGGCCCGCACAAGCGGCGGGAGCUUUGGGGAUUAAUUCGAUGCAACGCGAAAGAAACCUUACCUGGGCUUGACCAUAUAACAGGACUGGGGCCAGAAGAUGUUCUUUCCCUUUUGUGGCUUGAUAUACAGGGUGGGUGCAAUGGUUUGUCGUCCAGCCUCGUGUCGUGAGAUGUUGGGGUUAAGUCCCCGCAACGAGCCGCAACCCUUUGUCUUAUGUUGCCAGCGGAUUUGGCCGGGGGACUCAUGAGAGACUGGCCGGGGUUAACUCGAAGAAGGUGGGGAUGACGUCAAUCAUCAUGCCCCUUAUGUCCAGGGCUUCACACAUGCUACAUGUCGUACACGCGCUGCAGCCUGUGAGUGAGCGAAUCGUGAACCGCUCAGUCGGAUGGGUCUGCACUCGACCAUGAAGUCGGAGUCGCUAGUAU